rnacentral:rRNA from 1 species
GACGAACGCUGGCGGCGUGCUUAACACAUGCAAGUCGAACGGAAAGGCCCUGCUUUUGUGGGGUGCUCGAGUGGCGAACGGGUGAGUAACACGUGAGCAACCUGCCCUUGACUUUGGGAUAACUUCAGGAAACUGGGGCUAAUACCGGAUAGGAGCUCCUGCUGCAUGGUGGGGGUUGGAAAGUUUCGGCGGUUGGGGAUGGACUCGCGGCUUAUCAGCUUGUUGGUGGGGUAGUGGCUUACCAAGGCUUUGACGGGUAGCCGGCCUGAGAGGGUGACCGGCCACAUUGGGACUGAGAUACGGCCCAGACUCCUACGGGAGGCAGCAGUGGGGAAUAUUGCACAAUGGGCGGAAGCCUGAUGCAGCAACGCCGCGUGCGGGAUGACGGCCUUCGGGUUGUAAACCGCUUUCGCCUGUGACGAAGCGUGAGUGGCGGUAAUGGGUAAAGAAGCACCGGCUAACUACGUG